AGGGAAAGCAGAGCUGGUGCCCGUUCCCUGCAGUGGCUUUGGGAGCUUGUGCUCCAGCAGCUGCUCCCUCCUCAGCACAAAAUCCUCUGUGCAGAGCUCCCAGUCUCGCUGAGCCCCACUGGAUUUCCUGUUCCCUUCAUUCCUUCUGGAUUUCCUGCUCCCUUCAUCCCAGUGGAGGGAGGAGCUGCUGGGACUGCCCAGAGGAACACAGCUCUGCUGGAGCAGCAGCCUGGAGGGAGAGGUGGAGAAACCUCUGAGGAAGCAGCUGCAGAAAGGGAGAGGAUGCAUGUCUCCUGGAAGUCCUGUGAAGAGUGGGGAAGACAAUUUGUUAAUUCACCAAGGGUGAGAAGGAAUAUUGAUCAACCUGAUGGACAAAUGGCACAAAUGGCCUGUGCUUCCACCCCAGCAGGGUCACAGCUGCAGUGGGAACAAGAAGUCACAGGUCCACAGACAGCGAAAGGAAGGUGACAUCAACUCUGGCUGUCCUGAGCUCUGCUGGGAACAGGAACCGAGCAGCACAGGGCAGGGCUGGCUGUCCCACACAGCAGCUGAGGACGUUGCAGAAGCCACAGGGUGACCUGAGGUGCCUCCUGAGAGAGUCCGUGUUGUGCUGAGAGGUGGCUGCAUCACUGCUGCGAGGGGAGGAGGGAACAGGGCCCAGCUCUGGGGUUUAGAAACCAGUAAGUCCCAAGUGCCUUUGAGGAAAUGUUUGUGUGUGGCCGAGCCAGGAUGUAGCUCUUCCUUUGGAGCACCCUGUGAACUUCCCACCUCCCUGCUGCUGCCUCCCACCCUUCAGGGAUGUGUCUGUACAUCCAGGGUGCCAGAGGGCUACACUCAAACACAAAACCUGGCAGAGUCACUUCAAAACAGACCUUUCGGAGCCCUCGUGGUCCUGCCACACGCAGGAGAAGCUGCUCCCAUGGAAAAGUCACACUCCAGCAUCGUUUGACAUCCACAGCUUCCUGCACAGGCACUGCCAUGCUCACAGAGACAGCUCUGAGCACUGCAAAACAGAAACCUGUCCCUGCACAGCUCCACUCCAGCCUGCUUUGAACACAAACCUCUCCACCUCCUGCCAGGUGAGGGAUGGUUCAGCCAAGAGGAGAAGCUUUGGGUCUCCCUUUUCCACCUGCUCCAGAUCAGCCUUGAUCUGCCCAGGGCCAGCUGAGGGGGGGCUCAGGCAGUGAGGAUGGAUCUGGCUGCAUUCCUGGAGCUUCCCUGCUGAGCCAUUCCCAGGGCCAUGGAAAUGUCUAAGGUGAGCAAAAGGAAU